rnacentral:lncRNA from 1 species
GUAUUCGUCCUCAAACAAUAAUCGUAAUCUGUCUUGUUUGAGUUUCUUCUCUGGAAAAGUCUGCGCACGCUACUUUCCAGUCAAGAAUACAAUGUCACGCUGAUAACGCGCAUACCAUUCGUGACUUGGAAGCA